CCUACGGGAUGCACCAGUGGGGAAUAUUGCACAAUGGGCGCAAGCCUGAUGCAGCCAUGCCGCGUGUGUGAAGAAGGCCUUCGGGUUGUAAAGCACUUUCAGCGGGGAGGAAGGCGGUGAGGCUAAUAACCUUGUCGAUUGACGUUACCCCCAGAAGAAGCACCGGCUAACUCCGUGCCAGCAGCCGCGGUAAUACGGAGGGUGCAAGCGUUAAUCGGAAUUACUGGGCGUAAAGCGCACGCAGGCGGUCUGUCUAGUCGGAUGUGAAAUCCCCGGGCUCAACCUGGGAACUGCAUUCGAAACUGGCAGGCUGGAGUCUUGUAGAGGGGGGUAGAAUUCCAGGUGUAGCGGUGAAAUGCGUAGAGAUCUGGAGGAAUACCGGUGGCGAAGGCGGCCCCCUGGACAUAGACUGACGCUCAGGUGCGAAAGCGUGGGGAGCAAACAGGAUUAGAUACCCGCGUAGUC
rnacentral:rRNA from 1 species